rnacentral:rRNA from 1 species
UACGAAGGGGGCUAGCGUUGCUCGGAAUUACUGGGCGUAAAGGGAGCGUAGGCGGAUAGUUUAGUCAGAGGUGAAAGCCCAGGGCUCAACCUUGGAAUUGCCUUGAUACUGGCUAUCUUGAGUACGGAAGAGGUAUGUGGAACUCCGAGUGUAGAGGUGAAAUUCGUAGAUAUUCGGAAGAACACCAGUGGCGAAGGCGACAUACUGGUCCGUUACUGACGCUGAGGCUCGAAAGCGUGGGGAGCAAACAGG